UACGUAGGGCGCAAGCGUUGUCCGGAAUUAUUGGGCGUAAAGAGCUCGUAGGUGGUCCGCCGCGUCCGCUGUGAAAAUCCAGGGCUUAACCCUGGACUUGCAGUGGAUACGGGCGAACUAGAGGUAGGUAGGGGAGAAUGGAAUUCCCGGUGUAGCGGUGAAAUUCGUAGAUAUCGAGAGGAACACCGGUGGCGAAGUCGGCCAACUGGACAGAUACUGACGCUGAGACUCGAAAUCGUGGGGAGCAAACAGG
rnacentral:rRNA from 1 species